UACGUAGGGGGCAAGCGUUGUCCGGAAUCAUUGGGCGUAAAGAGCGUGUAGGCGGUCCGGUCAGUCGGUUGUGAAAGUCAAGGGCUCAACCCUUGAAUGCCGGCCGAUACUGCCGGGCUAGAGUCCGGAAGAGGUGAGUGGAAUUCCUGGUGUAGCGGUGAAAUGCGCAGAUAUCAGGAGGAACACCGAUGGCGAAAGCAGCUCACUGGGACGGUACUGACGCUGAGACGCGAAAGCGUGGGGAGCAAACAGG
rnacentral:rRNA from 1 species